rnacentral:rRNA from 1 species
UACGGAGGGUGCGAGCGUUGUCCGGAUUUACUGGGCGUAAAGGGCGCGUAGGCGGCAAUUCAAGUCAGCUGUGAAAUCUCCGGGCUUAACUCGGAACGGUCAGCUGAUACUGCUUUGCUAGAGUGCAGAAGGGGCAAUCGGAAUUCUUGGUGUAGCGGUGAAAUGCGUAGAUAUCAAGAGGAACACCUGAGGUGAAGACGGGUUGCUGGGCUGACACUGACGCUGAGGCGCGAAAGCUAGGGUAGCAAACGGG